rnacentral:rRNA from 1 species
CCGGCACGGGUGAGUAACGCGUAUGCAAUCCACCUGUAACAGGGGGAGUAACCCGGAGAAAUCCGGACUAAUACCCCAUAAUAUGGGCGCUCCGCAUGGAGAGCCCAUUAAAGAGAGCAAUUUUGGUUACAGACGAGCAUGCGCUCCAUUAGCCAGUUGGCGGGGUAACGGCCCACCAAGCUCGAUGGAUAGGGGUUCUGAGAGGAAGGUCCCCCACAUUGGAACUGAGACACGGCCCAA